rnacentral:ncRNA from 21 species
AUAUGAUUUAAAGGUUCAGGUGUUUUUUAACUUAAUAAGGAAAUCGGUUAAAAUCCGAUACAGCCGCCACUGCUGUGAAACGGACGAAAACAAAUAUCCACUGAAAUAAAUUUCGGGAAGGAUGUGAGUAGGAUGAAGUUAGUCAGAAGACUUGCCUGAAUUAUAUAUUCGGAU